CACCAGCCAUGGUUUAUGGCCCCGAGACGGGCUGCCCUACCUGUGGGGCCUCGGAGAUUCAUUUCAGGUUGUUGGAAAAAUCCCAACGGCCCAUAAACAGGGAAAGAGAUAUCUGAGCUUGGCCCGGGAGGUGAGGGUGAGGGAGGGGGGCAGAGACCCUCAUGGUAGGGAAGGGAGAGGCAGGAACAGGCCUUAGAUGCCUCCCCAGCGAUGAGCCUCAUAAAUGUCCUUCAAGCCGGGGGAGGAGAGGAAGGGUCUGGGACUCGCUGGGGGGGGGAGGGAAGGAAGGAAGGGCGGAAUUUAUGAAGACAGGGUGUAUGAAGACAGGAAGCUAUCUCGGUCACUGCCCUGCACUACAGGAUUGGAACUGCAUUCUCCCCGAACACGGCAACAGUUAACUCCAGAUGCCGCAGCAUCUAAAAUCCAACAGGCAAGAAGGAAAGUCCUCUAGAAAAGUAAAGUCCCUCCAGCUACUGUUUGAAACCGCCUUACACGUGGCUCUUCGAGGAGGUCUUGACUCAGACCCAACUCAGGUUCCUAUGAAAGAUCUGACUUGGAACUGGUUCAUUUCGUCAGGCACUGUAGGGGGACCAUUCUGGGACACGCAGAUGAUGAAGAUUCAGCCUCUGUCUCCCACGGACAUUGAAAGGUCAGGUGCAUCAGGCACUCACAAGGAAGUCAGAAGAAAGGGAAAAAAACCAAAGUAUUUCCUCAACCCCCCUCUACUUGGGUCGUGCCUCCAACAGCUGUUAUACCUCCUCCAUGGCUCCGAGUCACACGUGAAAAUCCCACCGCGGUGGCAGCUUCCACCAGAUGUCCACAGAAGCUUUAUCACCUGUCACUCUGCAGCUUUCCUCUGCUGCAAAGUUGUAGACUUUUUCACCAUCCUGAUCUGUUCGCAUCUCAACGAUCCCAUCACUGUGUGACGAACGCUCUGUAUUAAACCCCAUUUUAAAUAA